UGGGGAAUAUUGGACAAUGGGCGAAAGCCUGAUCCAGCCAUGCCGCGUGUGUGAAGAAGGUCUUCGGAUUGUAAAGCACUUUAAGUUGGGAGGAAGGGCAUUAACCUAAUACGUUAGUGUUUUGACGUUACCGACAGAAUAAGCACCGGCUAACUCUGUGCCAGCAGCCGCGGUAAUACAGAGGGUGCAAGCGUUAAUCGGAAUUACUGGGCGUAAAGCGCGCGUAGGUGGUUUGUUAAGUUGGAUGUGAAAGCCCCGGGCUCAACCUGGGAACUGCAUCCAAAACUGGCAAGCUAGAGUACGGUAGAGGGCGGUGGAAUUUCCUGUGUAGCGGUGAAAUGCGUAGAUAUAGGAAGGAACACCAGUGGCGAAGGCGACCACCUGGACUGAUACUGACACUGAGGUGCGAAAGCGUGGGGAGCAAACA
rnacentral:rRNA from 1 species